UCUAGGUUUACGCCUAUGAGCAUGAGACUAUAUAUACUCUGUAAUAUCAAGAUCAAUAACACAAGUUAACAUUCAGCAAUUCACAAGUUUGUCAUGGUAUCAGAGCAAGAUCCGUUCCUCUAAAUUUGCUGGUUUCUUUUUCUAAAAGAGCUGCCUCUGUUCUUCAUAUACGAGAAACAUAGCCGCUUAUUCAAGAUCACUGAUUCAAUCAAGUUUUGCACAAGAUGUCUAUCACCGAGGCAGUUGCAGAACCUAAAAGACGGACGAUCUCACUAUAUGAUCUCACGUCUGGAGAUAACCCAGGAGCUGUUAUUUCAUCCCCGUUGCUAAACGGUACGAACUACGAGGAAUGGGCGAUUAAUUUACGUAUGGCACUGAGUUCACGCAAAAGGUUUGGUUUCAUUGAUGGGAGUAUCCCGAAACCAGCAGCGAACUCUCCUCAACUUGAAGAUUGGAUUGCUAAUAAUCAUCUGCUGGUGGGUUGGAUAAACAAGACCAUAGAACCUAAACUCAGAUCAUCAAUUUCGACAAGAGAAGUAGCAAAGGAACUCUGGGAUAUCAUCAAAAAGAGAUUCUCAAUGAAAAGUGGUGCUCGACUGCAGCAACUACGUAACUCCUUAACUACAUGUAAACAGAACGGGUCAUCAGUAGAUGACUACUUUGGAAGGCUGACAAGGAUUUGGGACGGCAUUAGGGAAUGUAUGAACACAAAACAGUGUAGUUGUGGGAAGUGUGAGUGCGACCUUAACACAGCACAUGAGACAGAACGUGAGAUGCUUCGGGUUCAUGAUUUCCUAUCGGGUCUUGACGACUCAGCUCAUGGUGUCAUUCGCUCUCAGAUAUGUGCGAUAACACCUCUCCCAGACCUUGACAGCGUGUAUCAAACUAUAGUUCAGAAUGAAACUAUUCGGUCUACUGUGGUUCAAGAAACUCAAGUAAUGAGCUGUGCUUCUCAAGUUAAUCGGGACCAGACCCAUCGUCCGACUAAUAGCUUGCAGACAUCGUCAUCAUAUCCUGGCAACAAGGACCUAUCGAGGAAGUGUACGGUUUGUGGGCGUAUGGGUCAUGAAGCUAGCGCCUGCUUUCGAGUGGUCGGUUAUCCAGAGUGGUAUGGAACUUCUGGUCGUGGCCGUGGUGGAACAAACAAAGGUCGGGUAUGCAGCCUCGUGCUAAUAGCACACAGAUCGUUGGGGCUAAUGCUGCUGCGGUUUCAGGGCCAGUGACACUUACAGAAGCUGAUCGUCAGGGUCUCACUGGUAUAUCGGAUGAGCAGUGGAAGAUUAUUCAAAAAAUGGUGGGACAGAAACCAAAGACAGACACUCUGAGCGGUAAGAAUGAUUGUGUUGAAUGGAUAUUAGACACAGGUGCGACCCACCAUAUGACUGGAAGAGUCGAAUGUCUGGAGGAUGUUCGCCUCAUAAUUCCAGUGUCAGUAAGGUUACCCACGGGUUUGAAUGUUCUUGCCUCGAGACAGGGGACUGUUCUCUUAAAUCCACAUCUUACUCUUCAUAAUGUUUAUCUUGUUGAUGGAUUCGACACCAACCUGAUUUCUUUUGGUCAAUUGGUGACUGAUAAUGGUUUGGUGGGACAAAUAACUGAUAAAUUGUUAUUGUUACAGGACCGCAUUACGAGGACGCUGAUUGGGAUGGGUGAAAGAGAGAGAGAGAGAGAGAGAGAGAGAGAGAGAGGGACUGUAUCGGAUGAGGGUUGCUGAGACGGUUACUUCGCUGACUACUAGUGUGGGUGAAGAAUCAAUCUUGUGGCAUCAUCGUUUGGGACACCGUCUCACCGUAUCGUUAGUUUGCUUCCUGGUGUUUCUAGUAAUAAAGAUUCAUUUAAGAAUUGUGAUGUUUUAUUUCGCGCUAAACAAACUCGUCAAUGUUUCCCAGACAGUUCGACUUGUUCUAAUGCAAUUUUUGAUUUGAUUCAUUGUGAUUUAUGGGGUCCAUACCGUACUACGGCUUUAUGUGGCACUCGUUAUUUCUUAACCAUUGUUGAUGAUCAUUCCAGAGCAGUUUGGGUAUAUCUUUUGAAAGAUAAGACUUCUGUCUCACGUCAUUUACAAGACUUUGUCGCGUUGAUUCAAACACAGUUUUCGAAGAAAAUCAAGACAAUAAGGAGUGACAAUGGAACAGAAUUUCUGUGUCUCUCCAGAUUUUUUCAAGAAAAUGGGAUUCAACAUGAAACAUCAUGUGUAUAUACUCCACAACAGAAUGGGAGAGUGGAACGUAAACACAAACAUAUCCUCAAUAUUGCUCGCGCAUUGAGGUUUCAAGCACAUCUUCCAAUCGAGUAUUGGGGCGAGUGUGUUAAAACGGCAGUCUACAUUCUCAACAGAACACCAUCACAGCUGCUUAAUGGGAGAACACCUUUCGAAAGAUUAUAUGGUCGGAUCCCAUCAUUUAAGCAUCUUCGUGUUUUUGGAUGCUUAGCAUAUGCGCACAAUCAGCAUCAUCAUGGCGACAAAUUUGCAACUCGCAGUCGACGUUGUGCGUUUCUUGGAUAUCCGAUGGGGAAGAAAGGAUGGGUGUUACUUGACAUGGACACAGAAAAGGUGUUCAUUUCCAGAGAUGUGGUGUUUUGUGAGGAUCAAUUUCCUUUUGCUGCUACCUCUCAGACCUUACCAAUAAUAGAGCCAAUGCCAGAGAUAGGUGAGGCAGCGGCUGAUGACUCUGAUUCAGAGGUUGCAGAGACAGUAGAAGAACAUGUUGAGGAAAUAGAGACGACAUCAGCCAAUGGAACUACUAUGGACCAGACAACGGUAGUGGCUCCUGAACCACAUAUUAACACAAUCAACACUCCUCUUGUUGAAGAAGUCGGAGCAUCUCAACAAGAAAUAGUUGACGUUCCAAAUCUGGGCAGAGGACACAGACCGAAGCUUCCAUCGUCUCAUUUACGUGAUUACGUGGUCAACACAGUUUCUCUUGAUUCCUCUCUCUCUCUCACUCUGCAAAAUCACCAUCUCAACAGCCGUCCUCAGGUUCGUUAUAUCCGAUCUCUGAUGUACUUACUUGUGAAAAAAUUUCUUCUCAACAUCGCAGCUUCUUGGCGUCACUGGAAUCUCAUCAUAUACCGCGUAGCUUUCAGGAAGCUGUCAAAGUGAUAAAAUUUGGAAUGAUUCAAUGGGUACUGAGAUCACUGCUCUAGAAGAACAACACACAUGGGAUUUAGAGCCUCUUCCUCCGAAUAAGAAAGCGCUAGUCAGAAAAUGGAUUUAUACGAUCAAAUAUAAUUCUGAUGGUACUGUGUUACGUCCCAAAUCGAGACUAGUUGUCUGUGGAAACAGGCAGAAACAUGGGGUCGAUUACACGGAUACAUUCUCUCCUGUUGCAAAGAUGACGACAGUUCGGGUCUUCUUGGAUUAUGCUGCUAAAAAGAAUCAUGAAGUUCAUCAGAUGGAUGUUCACAAUGCAUUCCUUCAUGGAGAACUACAUGAGGAGGUGUAUAUGAAAAUCCCACAAGGUUUUCGAUCACCUAAUGAGACUCGGGUGUGUCGCCUUCGCAAAUCUCUUUAUGGUCUCAAACAGGCUCCUCGCUGUUGGUUUGCCAAACUUAAAGAUGCUCUCCUCAACUAAGGUUUCACGCAAACAAAGUCGGAUUACUCAUUUUUUGUGUAUUUUAAACAUGGUGUUUCCAUCAGAUUACUAGCUUAUGUCGAUGACUUGAUCAUCUCUGGGAGCAGUCCAGCCGAUAUUAAGUUACUUAAGGACUACUUGUCUGUGUGUUUUCACAUGAAAGACUUGGGGUUUCUCAAAUAUUUUUUGGGAAUCGAAGUAGCUAGGAGCGCUACUGGGUUCUAUUUAUGUCAAAGGAAGUAUGCAACUGAUAUUGUCACAGAGAUGGGAUUGCUUGGCUGCAAGCCUGCUGGAUCUCCAAUGGAUCAGAAUCAUUAACUAGGUCGAGUUAAAGGUCCGAUUAUUACUGAACCAGAACGCUAUCGUAGACUGGUGGGUAGACUGAUAUAUCUAGCUGCGACACGUCCAGAUCUUACCUACUCAGUGCACAUCCUUUCUCAGUUUAUGCAAGCACCGAUGGAAGAGCAUUGGCUUGCAGCAUUGAAAGUGGUGAGAUAUUUAAAGGGGACGCUUGGUCAAGGCAUUAUUCUCGAUGAAAAGUCAUCUCUUCAUGUUACUGGUUGGUGUGAUUCAGACUGGGGAAGCUGCUCUACUUCUCGUCGCUCACUCUCAGGUUGGAUAGUUCAGUUGGGAACAUCUCCAAUUUCAUGGAAAACAAAGAAACAGGACACAGUAUCAUGUUCCUCCGCAUAAACUGAAUAUCGUGCUAUGGGGGCAAUUACUAAGGAAUUUAUAUGGUUUAAAGGGUUACUCAAGGAAAUGGGCGUUAAUCAUCCAGAGCCAAUGACGUUGCAUUGUGACAGUCAGCCUGCUAUAUAUAUCAGUUCCAAUCCAGUCUUUCAUGAACGUACGAAGAACAUUGAGAUUGAAUGUCACUUUAUUAGAGAUGAGUUUGUUAAAGGAGUUCUCAAGCCGACUUAUGUAACAACGAAAGAACAGCUUGUCGACAUUUUCACUAAAGCUUUGGGACGCAAGGAGUUUGACAUGUUUUUCUCCAAGUUGGGCAUUCGAAACUUACAUGCUCCAACUUGAGGGGGGGGGGGAUAUUACGAGAGAUAUGAAGCUACCAUAUACUCAUAUAUAUCUACUUUAUUAGAUAGUUUCCUAUUUGAUAGAUUUACAUUAUUCUCUCUAGGUUUACGAGCAUGAGACUAUAUAUACUCUGUAAUAUCGAGAUCAAUAACACAAGUUAACAUUCAGCAAUUCAUAAGUUUGUCGUGAUAAGAUUAUUUUGAAUAUUAAUGCCUUCCAUGUCGGGGUCUUGCAAAUCUCCUGUAAUGUUAAACCAUUCUUGUCCCAUAAAACAAAUCUUCCUCUUUGCAAGCUCCAUCCACGUAACACUCCAAAACUUAUUCAUAUGGGCGUUCGUAUGAGCCUCAAUAGCAUGGAACAUUCCAAAAAA
rnacentral:lncRNA from 1 species